rnacentral:rRNA from 1 species
AUUGAACGCUGGCGGCAGGCCUAACACAUGCAAGUCGAACGGUAACAGGAAGAAGCUUGCUUCUUUGCUGACGAGUGGCGGACGGGUGAGUAAUGUCUGGGAAACUGCCUGAUGGAGGGGGAUAACUACUGGAAACGGUAGCUAAUACCGCAUAACGUCGCAAGACCAAAAAGGGGGACCUUCGGGCCUCUUGCCAUCGGAUGUGCCCAGAUGGGAUUAGCUAGUAGGUGGGGUAACGGCUCACCUAGGCGACGAUCCCUAGCUGGUCUGAGAGGAUGACCAGCCACACUGGAACUGAGACACGGUCCAGACUCCUACGGGAGGCAGCAGUGGGGAAUAUUGCACAAUGGGCGCAAGCCUGAUGCAGCCAUGCCGCGUGUAUGAAGAAGGCCUUCUGGUUGUAAAGUACUUUCAGCGGGGAGGAAGGGAGUAAAGUGAAUACCUUUGCUCAUUGACGUUACCCGCAGAAGAAGCACCGGCUAACUCCGUG